UUCAAAUAAUACAUUUGCUGAAAACACUGUUCUUAGGAAAGAGGCUUGAAAUUAUAUUUCAUCAUUCAUAGAGAAACGUGGUAUGAACAUUUGGAAACUAUGCAUUUUCUCCUUUCUAUCAAAUGAGUCUCCAAAGAACUCUUCAAGAUUUUUAUCAAAUUUAAUAUUAACAGUAGCCAGGAGGAAAACUUUAUAAGUUCAAUAGAAAAAUGUUCCAUAAUCCUGGGUAAACUAUCUUUUUGUUUUCAACGUGCACAAAAUGUCUUUAAAUAUUUCACUUAUAACGUUAAGUACUCUGCCUCUUUUAUUAGGAAAGUUUUUAUACUUAUUUGUGUGUGUGUAUAUCUUUGUUGUAUUCGUUCUUUCUUUAUGUAGUUAUUAAGGCCUAAUUCAAUUCUUAGCAUCUCUUCGUGAAAAUGUGAGCACUUUGCAAUGAGUAUUUUCUUUCAUUUACGAUUACUUUAAUUAUUCCCUAUGAAUUAAUUAUUUCAAUAAGUAUAUUAAUAUAAAGGUGCUUGACACAAAAUGAUUCUUAUCUAAACAAUCUAAAGGAUGGAAAUAAUCUACAAGGAAGUAUUCUUAUCUAAACAAUCUAAAUGAUAGAAAUGAUACAUAAAGAAGUAUACUAACUGAUCUAGUAUGCAGCAGUCCCGGUGUGGAUCUGUUAUGCUCUAAUCUCAGGACCUCCAGAGCAGGCUUCCAUUUUAUUUGAAAUAGAAUUGGGUACCUGGGAUGAAGAUCUAUGAGUCAAGACACGUUUCAACCUCUUAUUCACUCAGCAAACAUCAAACCCCUUUUGCAACAAAGCACAAUUAGAGUGCAGACUCUUGGGAACUGCAUCCUCAAGAAAUGAAGACAGACACUUACAAACAUCACACACUUAGAUUGUUAACCUAGAAGACUAAAGCUCAAGGUAGAGGAAGUAAAAAGAUCGUGCAAGCAUUGAAAACGUGCGCAUUUUUGUGGAAAAGGAAAGAAGAUGAUGGCACUCAAAAUGAGGAAUUUAAAUGGGAAAAUGUCAAAUAGAAAGUGAUUUUUAAUGACCUGACAAGAUAUCAUCAUAUCCUGGCAGAUGAAUGUUUUAUGGUGCCAGGUUUCCAAAAUGCUUUUUCAUUCAGAGUGGCCACUGGAGCUAUAAAAUUUUGCAAGAUUCAAGGAUACACAAGAUCCAUGCACAUCAGGUAUGUAUCCUCUGCUCAUUUGUAAAGGUAAUGAGAAGUAAAAUAAUCAAAUGGGCUUGUCUAUGUCUUAGUUUUGAGGCAAACUAAGGAUUGCUUCCAAGAAGCAAUCCUGGCUUGUUCUCCUGAAAACUGGGUAGUUUUUCAAGAGAUUGAGCAGAAGUGUACAAGGCCUCCUGACACCUAGGUGUGAGAUGGGCACACAACCACUCCUGUCAAAUUCUAUUGGCCAAAGCAAGUGACAAAACCAAUGCAGAUUUAAGAGGUGGUGGAAAAAAACCCUAAAAAGAUCAGGCCUCUGUGUAACUGAUGACUGGGUUAUCUUUGUCACAGAGACAAAGAUCAGGCCUCUGUGUAACUGAUGACUGGGUUAAGAUGUAUGACACACAUACUUGAUAUGUUUUUUUACCAAAAUAGCUCAAGAGGAUUAUAAAAUAGGACUUUUGGCACCUACUAAUUCAACAACUAGGGAUCAAAGAAUUUUGUAAACAGUGAUUUCUCCUAGGGUUGAAUACAUGAAAAAAAGCUUAGGCAACAGCAAUUUGAGUGUUUCAAUUUCCCAUCCAUACAGUUUUAUUAAAUAUCUACUCCUUACCCAGCAGUGUAGUAGACACUUCAGAAAUCAAAAAGAUCCCGGUCAUCAAGGAACUAUGACCACAAAGUUAAAGACAGACUCGUAAACAAUUAAGGGCAGGAAAAUAUGACUAGUGGGAUGAUAUGAAAUGAGUACAUCGAGAGCACUUUCUUAUAAUGAGAAAAUUAUUUCUAUCUGAGUAGCAGAUGUGUAAAAAGAAAAUCUCAGAGAGGAUAUAGCACUAUUCUUUUCAACAUUCUUUUUUAUAUGUGUUUGUCAAGGUGAGUGGAGUUUCAUAUAGAAAACCACAUUCAUUUGAAUUUACAGGGGGUCCACUUCUCAUGUACCUAUUCAUUUAUUUAACAAAUGCUUACCGGGCACCUACUUUGUGUCUAUCAUAAGACAGAUGUAUUAGUCCGUUCUUGCACUGCUAUCAAGAAACACCUGAGGCAGGGUAAUUGAUAUUAAAAAAAGAAGUUUAGUUGGCUCAUGCUUCUGCAGGCUGUACAGGAAGCAUAAUGUCUUCUGCUUCUGGGGGAGGCCAAAGGAAGCUACCAAUCAUAGUGGAAAGCAAAGACAGAGCAAGGCAUCUCACAUGGCUAGAGCAGGAGCAAGAGAAAGAUAGGGGAGCUGCUACACACUUUUAAACAACCAGAUCUCUUGAGAACUCACUGUCAUGAGAACAGCAUCAAGAGGAUGAUAGUAAACCAUUCACAAGAAACCCACCCCCAUAAUCUAAUCACCUCUCCUCAGGCCCCGCUUCCAACACUGGGGAUUACAACUGGACAUUUGGUUUAGGGAGGGACACAGAUGCAAACCAUAUCAGUCAUGUGUAUUGGGAUCUGAAAAUUAGAAAAACAUGUUUCCUGACUUAUUAAUGAUUAAUAUGACUAUUAAAAUAUUUCGGUGCAGUUACUAGACCCACUUGACACAUUCUAAUUUAAAGACAUGCCACUUUGAGUAGUCUGAACUUGACAACAUACAGCUAAAAGAUGCUGAGUGUGUGACUCCUCGAGUCUGCAGUCUUGAGUGUAAAUGUCCAGUGCUGGAAAUGAGCAAAGUGUUUUGGAAAGCUUAUCAGACCACCAUAAAAUUGGAAGAUGCCCAGGAAAGAUGUUGUGCUCAACUGUGUUUUUUGGAAAGUGGGA
rnacentral:lncRNA from 10 species